CUUUACAGCUGGAGCACUUGUGUGUCAAACUUGCACAAAUCAGCAGUGUUCAAGCACGGCACCACUAACGUGUUCCUCAGAGACAAUGUGUAUAACAGCUUCCAUUCAAGCUACUUCAGCUGGAACCCCAGGCCAGCAAAUCUACAAGGCUUGUGCAUCGUCCUCCCUGUGUCCAGCCGCAGGCUCUCAGACAUAUUCAGCCAACUUGGGAGCUGCGAGUGCACUUGCAUCUGCGACAUGCUGCAACACAGAUAACUGCAACUCAGCUACUCUACCAUUCCCUGCUACUCCAGCAGCUAACAGCCUACAGUGUUUCUCUUGUGACCCCGCCACCUCUCAAUGCACCAACCUAUUACAAUGUAAGGGAUCGGAGGACCGCUGCUUUCAAGCGAGCUUGACAGCUGGGUCCACAACAUCUCCGGCCUUUGGCUGUGCAUCUGCAAACCUGUGUGCCGCUGCUGCCAGCCUGGGUAACCUACCUUUUCUGCAAAAUGUUGGUAACAUCAGCAGCGGACCUUCCUGUUGUGGGACCAGUUUGUGUAAUACUGUCACAACAACCACCGCCCCAACAACAACAACAACAACAACAACCACCGCCCCAACAACAACAACAACAACAACAACAACAACCACCGCCCCAACAACAACAACAACAACAACAACUACCAGUGACGCAGGUUGCAUCAGACUGGGUAUGAUCCAUCUGCUGCUCGGACUCCUUAUCUUUACUCUCUGGUGAGAGAAAGCAGGGACGAAGCACCUUUGAAGCUCCUCUAAGGACUCUGAAAUGAUUUCUUUAAGCCUGGAUUUGGGUUUACUGCCCAUUGCCAUCUUUUGUUCGCAAUUACAGGGGCUAGAAAACCCAAAUAUAGGAAAAGAGGGGAUGUAGUCUGGAUGAAGCUGAGGUGGGACAAGUUAGCAGCAAAGUAAUAGACACACAACUGAACACUACUUUUUUUGUCCACUAUCAUCUGGAAAAGGAUUGUAUAUUUUAAGUAUUUGUUUAAUUGUGGUGUAUUAGUUUGUUGGCACAUAUUUCACAAUUCCAUUCUAUAAUUACAAUUUAUAUACAUCUCAUUGCAUAUUUUGUGUAUUCUCUGAUUCUCUGUAUUCUCUUAAUCUCAAAAAUAUGUUGCAGUAGUUUUACUUAAUAUGAUUGAUUUAUUCUGUACUGUAGCUAUAUAUCAUAACCUGCCUAAUAAAGCUUUUCUGGUGUAUGAAAUGACAACAAUUUAUUUUUAUAUAUUUGUUUUUCUGUUUUACAAUUGGUUACAUGCCAUGGGGUAACACAACAUUCUGGGGCUCGUACAAAUUUAGCCUCAGUGGUGUCACGGCUGGUGUUAGAACCGGACCCAGGAGUAGACACCCAGACAGUAUGGAAGGUUUAAAGGGGGGGGGAGAGAGAGACACACACACACACACACACACACGGGGAUGAGGGGCGGCCACAGCAGGAACGGGCGGAUGAAAUGGUGAAAGAGACCGGAGACACAGAGGCACAGGUGAGCAGACACAGGAAGCCAAACUGCACAAAGGGACCCUGGGGCACAGGAGAGAAAUGGUUAACUGGGGGACAGGCACAGGGAAAAUCACAAGAGAGCUUGAAGUUGCUUAACAAAAUACUGAAAGGAGCCACGAGAGUUACCACCACAUAGGCUGAAACAAUCUGGCGAUGAAUGGGAGGAAGACUGAGGCAUGAUGAAUGAUUGAGAGCAGGUGAGACAGCAGACAGCAGGUGAGGAGAAUGGAGGCCGGACCCUCAUCAGACACACAGGGAAGGAGGAGGAGCAAAGAGAGCAGGAGGGGAGCAGAGCCAUGACAAGUGGCCCCCUUCUGCUUUUAAAACAUGUCACACAUGUAGAAACAACUGCAUGUAUCACUGUAGGGGUUAUUUUGGUCGAUUGGUAGAAAAUGAAUAAGCAACUAUUUUCAACAGAAUUAUU
rnacentral:lncRNA from 15 species